rnacentral:rRNA from 1 species
UACGUAGGGCGCAAGCGUUUGUCCGGAAUUAUUGGGCGUAAAGAGCUCGUAGGCGGCUUGUCACGUCGGGUGUGAAAGCCCGGGGCUUAACCCCGGGUCUGCAUUCAAUACGGGCUAGCUAGAGUGUGGUAGGGGAGAUCGGAAUUCCUGGUGUAGCGGUGAAAUGCGCAGAUAUCAGGAGGAACACCGGUGGCGAAGGCGGAUCUCUGGGCCAUUACUGACGCUGAGGAGCGAAAGCGUGGGGAGCGAACAGG